UAACUCUUAAUCAGGUUUAUCCCUCUUGAGUGGAAUACCGGGGACCCAAACGCGCCGCAAUUCAGAAUGAUGGAUUUGGCGCAUUCAAUUCCACAUGUCCCCGUAGAUCCCAAACGGAUGGCGAGGGAGUCGCGAGCAGCGAAUCCAGCUCGGUAGCAAGAGGCGGGGAUGUUACCUUCAGCAAGAACCACCAAACCUCCAUCGAGGACCUUUCAGGUGAAGACCCAGAGACGAGGCGCUUGCGGACUGU